CUACGGGUGGCUGCAGUGAGGAAUAUUGCACAAUGGAGGAAACUCUGAUGCAGCAACGCCGCGUAGAGGAUGACGCAUUUCGGUGUGUAAACUCCUUUUAUAUGUCAAGAAAAUGACGGUAGCAUAUGAAUAAGCACCGGCUAACUCCGUGCCAGCAGCCGCGGUAAUACGGAGGGUGCAAGCGUUACUCGGAAUCACUGGGCGUAAAGGACGCGUAGGCGGGAUAUCAAGUCAGGUGUGAAAUCCUACAGCUUAACUGUAGAACUGCACUUGAAACUGGUAACCUAGAGUAUGGGAGGGGGAGAUGGAAUUAGUGGUGUAGGGGUAACAUCCGUAGAUAUCACUAGGAAUACCUAAAGCGAAGGCGAUCUCCUGGAACAUAACUGACGCUAAGGCGUGAAAGCGUGGGGAGCAAACAGGAUUAGAUACCCGGGUAGUC
rnacentral:rRNA from 1 species